rnacentral:rRNA from 1 species
ACACAUGCAAGUCGAGGGGCAGCGGGAUUGAAGCUUGCUUCAAUUGCCGGCGACCGGCGCACGGGUGAGUAACGCGUAUCCAACCUUCCGUACACUCAGGGAUAGCCUUUCGAAAGAAAGAUUAAUACCUGAUGGUAUCUUAAGCACACAUGUAAUUAAGAUUAAAGAUUUAUCGGUGUACGAUGGGGAUGCGUUCCAUUAGGUAGUAGGCGGGGUAACGGCCCACCUAGCCGACGAUGGAUAGGGGUUCUGAGAGGAAGGUCCCCCACAUUGGAACUGAGACACGGUCCAAACUCCUACGGGAGGCAGCAGUGAGGAAUAUUGGUCAAUGGACGAGAGUCUGAACCAGCCAAGUAGCGUGAAGGAUGAAGGUCCUACGGAUUGUAAACUUCUUUUAUAAGGGAAUAAACCCUCCCACGUGUGGGAGCUUGUAUGUACCUUAUGAAUAAGCAUCGGCUAACUCCGUGCCAGCAGCCGCGGUAAUACGGAGGAUGCGAGCGUUAUCCGGAUUUAUUGGGUUUAAAGGGAGCGCAGACGGGUCGUUAAGUCAGCUGUGAAAGUUUGGGGCUCAACCUUAAAAUUGCAGUUGAUACUGGCGUCCUUGAGUGCGGUUGAGGUGUGCGGAAUUCGUGGUGUAGCGGUGAAAUGCUUAGAUAUCACGAAGAACUCCGAUUGCGAAGGCAGCAUACUAAGCCGUAACUGACGUUCAUGCUCGAAAGUGUGGGUAUCAAACAGGAUUAGAUACCCUGGUAGUCCACACGG